rnacentral:tRNA from 3 species
GCGGCAGUAGCUCAGCUGGAUAGAGCACGGGCCUUCUAAGCCCGGGGUCGGGGGUUCGAGACCCUCCUGCCGCGCCA